CUCGCUCGAAGACGGAGGCGAAAGUGCAGAACCCUACCGUCGCCGGCGGCGGCUCAGGUUUGGUAGGUGCUCCGGCGACCACCUCCCGAGCUCCGGCGACCUACGUACGUCCGCGCAGAUUGCAUGCCGUGCUCCCCAUGGAUGUUAGAAAGGAGUGGUUGCAGAUGUUGCCUUGAUUCAUUAGCGUUUGUUUCAUGUGCUUGCUAGACUAAGACCUUGUAAUCCGCGUAUGAGUCUGUGUAGUUUGCAUGCUUCAAACUUGUAUUAUGUGCUUGCUUUUGAUGGAUUAUGAAUUGAACUUUCUAUAA